UAUACCUAAGAGUGGGUGUGUAGCAAUUAGUUUUGCCAGAGGACGGUUGGCGAGAGUUUAUCACUCUUGUUUGCCUACUUUUGGUAGACUUUAGUCGGGCUGGACCUUUGGUCCUCGUCUGACAGUUGCUACGUGCUUACUUACCACGGUUCAUCCGUGAGGCCCUUGGCUUGCAACUGUAAAUAAAUCGUUGUGCUUAAAGCGGGCUAUGAUACUCUGCCAGAGCGAUUUAGCAUGGGACUGCAGAGUAGCUGUAUUUGGAUGAAGGUUGUGUUUCGGCAUGGCUGGAGUCUGGUACAGCGCUUGUAAUGGAGCUCAGGGUGAGGCCCCGGGUACCAUGAGGCUAGAGGUGAAAUUCUGAGACCCUCAUGUGACCAACUAAGGCGAAAGCUGUCGUGGGCCACCACAAGCUCGUCUAUCAGGGACGAAAGUUGGGGGAUCGAAGACGAUUAGAUACCGUCGUAGUCCCAACUAUAAACGAUACCAACCGAGUAUUUGGGAAGACACUAUCCCAGCGAUCUUCUCAGAACUCAAGGGAAACCUUAAGUCUUUGGGUUCUGGGGGGAGUAUAGUCGCAAGACCGAAACUUAAAGGAAU
rnacentral:rRNA from 1 species